rnacentral:rRNA from 2 species
UGCUCUGAUACUUAUAGCGCAGUUGUUCCACACCAAACCAUUCCGAACUUGGUAGUUAAAAACUGUAGCGGCAAGAAUACUGAAAAGGAAGCUUUUUGGGAAAGUAGCUCAGCGUCAGAGCUUA